CUUCGGUCAGCCUUUGGCCCCAAAGUCAGCUGGGAAAAUGGACGGUGAUAAUAUCUUGAUUCUGAAAAUCUGUCAGAGAAGGAUUUUUUUUAACCCCCCCCCCCCCUUUAAUUCUUCAUUAAGAUUUCGAGCUUAGGACCCGGCCGGCCGUCAUCGACUCGGGGCUUUCGUGAUCUCGGGCCGCUAAUGGCCGUCGUGAGAAGCGGCCGGCAAACGCUCGGCGGAGCAGGAUGUACAGGAAAUACCAGCUCCUCCCUCAGAAAAAAAAAACAAACGCAAAUGUCAACACGGGGAACGGCGCAAAGGCCUCGAGAAGCGCGAGGAGGGACGUCCUUUUGUUCCGACAUUAAAAUGAGCUCGCGCCGCCGCGGCUCCGUUCGGAUUCUGGCCGAUCAGGUCGGUCGAGCUUGACUUCAUUGCUGGCGUCCCGGCACUCCCUCCCUCCCCUGCGUCUUUUAUUUCUCCUGAAAACAGAUGCCUGAGCAUUCUUUUGUUUCCCAACAAAGCCCGCGGAGGUCAGCGCAUGGAGGAAGGGCGUAAGCAAACGGGGGGGAGGGCGGUGGGGGGGGGUGUAGUGCAGGAGAGACAAAGUUUAAGACGUUACCAAAAAAAAAAAAAAUGUCAUGUUUGAUGCUGGGCACUGAUCACAUUCAUGCCAUUAUUUGGCGCUUGACCCUCAAGUCACUUCGGUUUCUUUGCUGUCCUCUAGCGGUCGGUAGCCGAUUUGCAGGGCAAUUCGUGUUCCUCAGUCUCGGAGAAAGAAAGAAAGAAAGUAGAAGAGUCACGCUUUGGGGCUUCUUUUGUGGGGCUUUGGUCAAAGUACAGGAAAUUAUGAACCGUUUCAAAUAGUACGCACAAAACCUUCCGGUUGCUGAUCGAAAGCAAAAACUGAAGUCACGAGAACGGCUCAACUUUAUGCACACGUUUCUCUUUUUUCCCCCUUUUGAGCGAGCGCAAAAAUGCAAUAUGCACUCACUUCUAUCAAGUCUACCUGUAUUUUAACGCGACGUAAUAUUGAGCAAUAUUCUACCCUGACAUGAAGUUAAAAUCUUUUUUUUUUCAUGCUAAUUUUCACUAUAGUCAUUAGCAUAUUUCUAACACUAUUUCAUUUGUAAUUUCCCUCAGCCUUUCCUAACGGUGUAAGACUUGUAUUAUGAAAUAAAAUGAAUAAAUGAAAAAUGCCUUUUGAUGAA